AAGGAAAUCAAAUGGGAACAAUGAAGCCGUGCAGAGCCAUGGAGAAAGAGAAAUUGGAGCAGCCAUGUCUUGGGAAAUUGAAAUUGAAGUUGGGGACCAAAAAAAAAUUAAUAUUUUAAUCAAGGAAAGGAACCAUGAGAACAAUUGAAGACCCAAAAAAAUGACGUCUCAUGUGAAAGUGCAAUUAAAGGCAUCCAUAUUAUAUUAAUAUAAUAUUAUUUAUUUGAACGCUAAUGAUGGCAGCCCAAAUGAAUUGAAGUUUCAAUUGAGGUGGGCCCAUGGUGUCAUAGGAGAGUUAGGUCGCAGCCACACACGUAGCAUAUAUAUAUAUAUAUAUACAUAUCUCAACAUUUUAGGGAGAGAAACGGACAGAAUUGGAAGGAAAAAAUAGGAGGGGCGGCACCACAGCAUGUCAGAGACGCACGGAAAGGAGACGUCUCUCCUCGUCUCUAUUCCUCAGACCUCUUUCAUGUGGCAAGGGAUUACGGUUAUUGUCAUGGUCGAUGAUGCGUCGUCGGUAAUUGAAGGUUCCAUAGCCAUGAAUGUUGCCUUUCGUCGUUAUCUAUCCUUAGUUUUCUCCUUUGACACGUUAUCUCUAACUACGACCCCUUGAGUGUUUGUGCCAAGUUCGACUGACCAUGAAUUUAUGCAUCGCCAUGGUUGUUGGUCUUUAUUCUUUUGUCAUGAUUGUUGUUUCUUGCCCUUGUCAUGGUAAUGGAUGUUGCUUGGCGCCAUCGACAUCAUCAAGUCAUUAUCGUCGACUUCAUGUAGCCGUCGACAAUAGAGGAUGAAGGAAAAAAGAAGAGUUGUUGGCGACACUGAUAGCAGUGGCAAGUGUGGUUGAUGGCGGCUUGAGAAGGAAAGAGAAAGAGGAGGAAAAAGAUAAAAGAGAAGGAAAAACAAGAGAUCUGUUAAGAUUUGAGGGUAGGGAGAAGGGGAUGUUUUUUGCAUUUUAGUAUUUUCAACGCAUUUUGGCUGGAAACAUUCAAAAUAACAAAUUUUGUUUUGGGUUUUAUAUAUAAUUUUAUUCUUAUUUUUGAGAAUGUGUUUUUGAAAAUAGUAAAGUAAACGCAUUUUCAGUGUUUUGAAAAACUAAAAAUUUAAAACGGACUGAAAGUAGCAAAUUUAACACAACCUUAAGUUUUUUUUUUUUCCUCAUUAUAAAUGAAAAUUAAUAAAUUGGAAUGAAAAUAACAAAAUAUAAUAAAAUGAAAAUGUUUGAUAACAUUUUCAAACCACCUAUGAGCCACUUUUAUUAACUAUUGUUAUAUUAUAUUAAUUAAUAUGAUAUUACAAGCCAAUGGUAAUGCUAGUAUCCUAAUGUGUAGACGACAUUAGGAUUACAUAAUAAUGGGUGUGAAUAAAUUUUCAUUUCUAUUCUUAAAUUCAUCAAGAGAAUUAUGAUAUUUUUCAUAUGCAUAAAUGAAAAGUCAAAAUUCUCUUGCUUGAUUCAAUUUUAGGGUUUUAAUUCAGGCUUCCUGCAGUCCUACUUUUCCAAUCCUCAGGUAGACAGGAAAUUUAACAACCUUUUCUUCAUUGCCGUCUUCGUUCCAAGCUUGCCUGAAUUUCUCGAUCACGUCCUCCGACAACAGCUCCACACCGUCGCGGCGAGCCGUCUGAUACGCCGAACUUGAUCUCGUGUACGCGAGGUAGUCCUCCAAACUCAUCAGCCUCCCCGUUUUGAACUCGAACGGCCCCGUGUGAUCCUCGCCGUCCACCGGCUGGAACGGGAAAUCGACGGUUCUGUAUCGAUCCACUACCAAAUUCCGGCCGGAGCUCCAAUAACGCCUAGAAUCGACGUAGUAAUGUUGCCGGAAAAUCAAGUCGACGCCGUCGCUGACCUCCGGCAAGGUGUAGCACCAGGCGGCGAUCACGCCGUCGGGCUUCUUGAGCAGCCAUUUCGCUUGUUCAUAGAAUGCGCAGAGAUCGAACCAGUGCAGAGCUUGACCUACGGUAAUUAGAUCGACGCUUGACUGCUCCGCCACGAAGCUCUCGACCUCCGCCGUAGACAUUCGAGGCGGCGUCCACUGGUACCGCAGGUUAGGGCGCUUCUCUGCGAAGUUCAAUUGGUUUUGGCUGGUAUCUGUGGCUAUGACUUGCUUGUAAAUAGCAGCUAGCUAUUGAGAUGAUUCCGUUGUAUAAUCAGCAGAUUUAUAUAUAAUGGCAUUGCUGAAAUUAACACACACACACACACACAUAUAUAUAUAAAUGAACUGACCGAUGUUGCAGCCUGGCCGCUGCCGGUGGCUACGUCCCAGGCGAGGUCACGGCAGGGCGUCUUGGAGGCGAUGAAUUGGAAGAGCUCUUGGGGAUAACUCGGCCUGCUCUUCGAGUAGUCUUCCCCUUGCGUCUGAAACAAUUGAUCAGCCAUCUCUGUUUCUAGAUCUGCGUUGAUGGAUGAAAGGCGGAAGCAUACAGUGAUGACAAGUAGCGAUUAAAGCAGACGUUGUGUAUAUAUAAAGGGCUAUCUCCCUCCCAUCCCGUUACCUGACGUACUAUAAAUAAUUCACUCUAUA